rnacentral:rRNA from 1 species
UACUCGAGUGGCGAACGGGUGAGUAACACGUGGGUGAUCUGCCCUGCACUUCGGGAUAAGCCUGGGAAACUGGGUCUAAUACCGGAUAGGACGAUGGUUUGGAUGCCAUUGUGGAAAGUUUUUCGGUGUGGGAUGAGCUCGCGGCCUAUCAGCUUGUUGGUGGGGUAAUGGCCUACCAAGGCGACGACGGGUAGCCGGCCUGAGAGGGUGUACGGCCACAUUGGGACUGAGACACGGCCCAG